rnacentral:rRNA from 1 species
UACGUAGGGUGCAAGCGUUGUCCGGAAUUAUUGGGCGUAAAGAGCUCGUAGGCGGUCUGUCGCGUCGGCUGUGAAAUCCCGAGGCUCAACCUCGGGUCUGCAGUGGAUACGGGCAGACUAGAGGUAGGUAGGGGAGAAUGGAAUUCCCGGUGUAGCGGUGAAAUGCGCAGAUAUCGGGAGGAACACCGGUGGCGAAGGCGGUUCUCUGGGCCUUACCUGACGCUGAGACGCGAAAGCGUGGGGAGCAAACAGG